GUGGGGAAUAUUGCACAAUGGGGGGAACCCUGAUGCAGCGAUGCCGCGUGAAGGAAGAAGUAUUUCGGUAUGUAAACUUCUAUCAGCAGGGAAGAAGAAAGACAGUACCUGAGUAAGCAGCCCCGGCUAACUACGUGCCAGCAGCCGCGGUAAUACGUAGGGGGCAAGCGUUAUCCGGAAUUACUGGGUGUAAAGGGUGCGUAGGCGGCACACUAAGUCAGCUGUGAAACCCCGUAGCUCAACUACGGGCUUGCAGUUGAAACUGGUGAGCUUGAGUACAGGAGGGGAAAGCGGAAUUACUAGUGUAGCGGUGAAAUGCGUAGAUAUUAGUAAGAACACCGGAGGCGAAGGCGGCUUUCUGGACUGAAACUGACGCUGAGGCACGAAAGCGUGGGGAGCAAACAGG
rnacentral:rRNA from 1 species